CCCCUUGCGCCGACCGCUCUUCGCGCCCGCGACCUCUCCCCCGGCGACCGCGCCGAGAUCGUCAACCAACUUUCCGUGGGCCUGCAGGGCGAGGUGCGCGCAGACGCCUGGAACCGGUGGCUGUACGCGACGGACGCCUCCCUCUAUCAGAUGGAGCCGGUGUGUGUCGUCUU
rnacentral:misc_RNA from 1 species